UCCAAAAGGAUUGUCAUAAAGUUGUUGGAUGGACUCUGUCUCAGGAAAAAUUUCAUAUGUCCUGGCAACUUUUAUGCUCACUCCACUGACUCUGAAAGGUCAAGGUUUUUGUUUGUUUCUUUCUUUUUUUCUUUGUGGUGCUGGGAAGCAAAACCAGGGUUUCACACAUGAACUCCAUGCUGCAGAUUUAUUCCUGGGCUUAUGGAGAAAACGUCAAAUGGAGGAACCAUGACUUUUACAAAGUCAGUGAUAGGAUGCCAGCAAACGUUUAUAGAAGAUACAUUGUGACCAACACUGAAAUAGAGACUUUUGAACUGUCACUGAACCUGAAGAUGUAUCCUUGGUCCCAAAGAUGUUUUAGCAGUGAAGCUGGAAGGUGAACAUGGACACAAGCUACUGGGAACAGAGCUCAAGGCUGCUUCCUGGUUCUCCUUAAAUGCUGGCCCAACUCUUCUGCAGAGCUACAUGGUUAACUACUGUUAGGGAAGAGGGUAUCUCCCUUGUUCUUAGACCUUUGGAAAUGAUACACUCCUGUUACUUAGAGGGGGAGUAGUGAAAUGCUCACUUUUUAUAGCCUUAGGACACAAUAAUUGCUUGUGUUUUAAAUAUUUAGACUCACAAGUUUUGAAAAUCCUGGGCACUGACUUUAUCAGGCUAGUCUAAUUCUUAUUGAUAAGAUGUGUUAUGAAGUAUGAGCAUCUACAAUGAAUAAAGCA